UUCGUUUUUUUUUCAUUCAACAUUUUUCGGAUUUCGGAUUAUGACCGACAUGACUUUCGUGAUCACAAAUUGAAAGUAGAUUCCAAAUCUUGAGUUUGCAUUCUCAGCUCAAAUAAGAAUCAGAGUGUUGAUUUAUCAAGCGUGUAAAAAUUCAACAAUAAUUCGGUGUGAAUAACCUUUAAAAAAGCAAAAAAAUAUUCAUAAUUUCAAUAUGCAACAUACAAACUGCUAUAUUUAUGUUCAUAUAAUGCAAAAAGCAGAAAGUUAGUAAAGAAGAAAUAUGCUCAACGAGAAAUUCAAAACAUCAUAUGGUCUUUAUUUUACUGAUAAAGACUUUACGUCGAAAACUUAUUGCAAAAUUUUUUACACAAACUUCCUGAACUGAGCGAGAGGAGAAAAUAAAGCCUGUCUGCGCUAUUUGAACAUACGCAAGUUCGCCAUAGCUGCAGAAAAAUGCGCUAGUGUCGAUUUACCCAAACCUUCGACUUCGGAAAAUUUAAUCGUCUUUGGACCUGUUCUUAAAAUGAUGCAACACAAAAUGAUGCAACACAAAAUGAUUCAACACAAAAUGAAAUGAUGCAACACAAAAUGAAUUCUAUACAAGGAACGGAUAUACGGAAAAGAAUGAAAAGCCAAGCCUUUAUAAAUUUAUUGAGUGCUGAUUAUUUCGAAGUAUGGUUGGCAUUAAGAGCAGUUAUCGAGGUUGUUUGGGGUACAAUCGUGAACAGCGAGUUGAGAUCAAUAGAAGAAUUAAUGAACUAUUCCAUUAUUACACAGAAAGUCAUUGAAAUUGCCUUUUUUACAUUUUCAUCUUGAAGAAUUUGUGCGAAAAUUGCUUCAAGAGUCGGACGAACAAGUUGAGCGUUUUAAUCACAUCACCAAUCAAAUAAAAGCGAGAUACAAAAGGAAAAACUGAAUGCAUUGCUUGCAGAAAUGUGUUGGUGGUCAAGAAAAAUAAGCCAAUUUGAAAAUGAAUACACCGAAGACCGGGAUUUGAAAAGAUAUGAAGAAAAUAUGAACAAAGAUAUGCCAAUAAAUAUUUUUACUGACCCUGAUACAGAUGAUGGUCCUGAUCUUGCUGAUGAUGAUGAACCGCCAUUGCGGAAAACAUAGUUCCAACGUUGUUAAAAUUAUUAGAUUUAUUACCAACGAAAAAUCUUAUUUGAAGCGCGUACUACUAAGCAGAGGCUGAAGGGUUCGAAUCCUAGUCAAAGCAACAGUUGGAUUAAUAUAAAUUUAAAUUUUCUAAUUGCAUUCGCUACUCGGCAGGGAGUGUAUUUUGAAAAUGAGAUAAAAAGCGAGUGGACUGUACGCUUAAAAAUCCAUCAAAUGAACUAACGUAAUAUUAGGCAGAUUGAUAGCAGCUUACAAUUCAGCGACAUUUUUUAAGAAAGGCUUUUCAAUUAUGUUCGUGAAGGCAAAUAAGAGUGGCGAUAGUGAGAAAUUCUCGAAAUUUUUGAACUGUCAGAAUUAUGCUUGUGUAUACAUUGUGCUAAAUAAACAGAGUUUUGUUUAAU